UACGGAGGAUCCGAGCGUUAUCCGGAUUUAUUGGGUUUAAAGGGUGCGCAGGCGGCCUUUUAAGUCAGCGGUGAAAUCGUGGUGCUCAACGCCAUUGUGCCGUUGAUACUGGAGGGCUUGAUUGCGGUCGAGGUAGGCGGAAUUCGUCGUGUAGCGGUGAAACGCAUAGAUAUGACGAAGAACACCGAUUGCGUUGGCAGCUUACCAGUCCGUAAAUGACGCUCAGGCACGAAAGUGCGGGGAUCGAACA
rnacentral:rRNA from 1 species